UUUCAACAAAAUAUUAUUCUGCCUGAGAAGGAAGGUGGGGCGUUGCAGCACCAGUCACGUCUGCAGGCAUUCCAGGAUGCAUUAUCUGAUUGUUCACUAGAGGACAUUGGGUAUAUUGGUGACAAGUUCACCUGGUUUAGGGAAGGUCUCCGAGAGAGGUUGGACAGAGCUAUUUCGAAUGCCACAUGGAUGGAGAUGCAUCCGCUCGUAGGGCUGGUCAAUCCGAAGAUGGGGAAAUCAGACCAUAGGCAAAUUUAA
rnacentral:rRNA from 1 species